GAACCCAGAAAACGCGCCCCAGUUCGGACUGCAGCCUGCAACCCGGCUGCACGAAGCCGGAAUCGCUAGUAAUCGCGGAUCAGAAUGCCGCGGUGAAUACGUUCCCGGGUCUUGUACACACCGCCCGUCACACCAUGGGAGUCGGAAAUGCCCGAAGUCAGUGACCCAACCGCAAGGAGGGAGCUGCCGAAGGCAGGUCCGGUAACUGGGGUGAAGUCGUAACAAGGUAAC
rnacentral:rRNA from 1 species